rnacentral:rRNA from 1 species
UACGAAGGGUGCUAGCGUUGUUCGGAAUCACUGGGCGUAAAGCGCGCGUAGGCGGCUUUUCAAGUCAGGGGUGAAAUCCUUGGGCUCAACCCAAGAAUUGCCUUUGAAACUGUAAAGCUAGAGUGUCGGAGGGGAUAGCGGAAUUGCUAAUGUAGAGGUGAAAUUCGUAGAUAUUAGCAGGAACACCGGUGGCGAAGGCGGCUAUCUGGACGACAACUGACGCUGAGGCGCGAAAGCGUGGGGAGCAAACAGG